UACGUAGGGUGCAAGCGUUUGUCCGGAAUUAUUGGGCGUAAAGAGCUCGUAGGCGGUCUGUCGCGUCGGCUGUGAAAACCCGGAGCUCAACUCCGGGCCUGCAGUCGAUACGGGCAGACUGGAGUUCGGCAGGGGGAGACUGGAAUUCCUGGUGUAGCGGUGGAAUGCGCAGAUAUCAGGAAGAACACCGAUGGCGAAGGCAGAAUCUCUGGGCCGUAACUGACGCUGAGGAGCGAAAGCAUGGGGAGCGAACAGG
rnacentral:rRNA from 1 species